UGCCGAUUGGCCCAGCGGUUAAGGCGUCCGACUGUUAUUCCUCUUCGAGGGCAUCGGAAGAUCGUGAGUUCGAUCCUCACAUUGGCAG
rnacentral:tRNA from 1 species